rnacentral:rRNA from 1 species
AAUCAACGCUGGCGGCGUGCCUCAGACAUGCAAGUCGAACGCGAAAGUUCCCUUCGGGGAAUAAGUAGAGUGGCGCACGGGUGAGUAACACGUAGGUAAUCUACCUUCGGGUGGGGAAUAACCCAGGGAAACUUGGGCUAACACCGCAUGAUGCAGCGGCACCACAUGGUGACAGUUGUUAAAGCGGGGGAUUUUCGGACCUCGCGCCUGAAGAGGAGCCUGCGGCGGAUUAGCAGUUGGUGAGGUAACGGCUCACCAAGGUCACGAUCCGUAGCCGGCCUGAGAGGGCGGUCGGCCACACUGACACUGACAUACGGGUCAGACUCCUACGGGAGGCAGCAGUCGGGAAUUUUGGGCAAUGGGCG